rnacentral:lncRNA from 1 species
UAUGUUUGGUACACGGUGUUGGUUUCCACUGGAAGUACAGUUGAUGGGUUUCAAAUUUCUUUUUUUUAUUAAUACAAUCCAGUCCACGGUAAUAUGCCAUGAGCUGGGAGAUUAUCAAAUUGCAUAUUGUAUUCUUUGACCGAAUUCAUCUACUCCAUUUAGGUGGUUUCCAAAGUCUCUCCCCCAAUAUAAAUGGAGGGUCAGUAGAUGAGAGUUCCCUUGUCAUUUGCUUUGGGGAAAUGUUGAUAGAUUUUGUUCCGACCGUAGGUGGAGUUUCACUUGCUGAAGCUCCUGCCUUCAAAAAAGCUCCAGGUGGUGCUCCAGCUAAUGUUGCUGUUUGUAUAGCGAAGUUGGGAGGUUCCUCUGCGUUUAUUGGCAAGGUACAUUAUUCCCUUUGUCUUUAAGAACUUUAAUGUCAUAACCACCCAGUUUCUCUGAUAAUAUUGCAUUCCCAAUCUUUUAAGAGAAAAAUGAAUGGUUGAAGGCAUGGUGUUUUCUUACUUAAAAAAUCCUUCUUUAAACAACCUAGAGUUACCAUAGGAUGAAGUGUAGUCUGAUUCUUUUUAAAGCAUGAAGAAUAAGAAACUUAUUAAGCACCAUUUAAGUGAAUAACUGUUAAUGAUAGAAGAGUCAGUUCAUAUAUUAAACAUGUUUGACCUUACUGUACUUUUCUCAAAAGAUAUCGCAUGUAAUUAUGUCUAUCACUCUGCAUGACUUUAAGCGCAUGUUUGGCCACACAAUAUUGGACUAGACUCAACAAUACAUUUUUUCCUCUAACACUGUCCAAUUCACUUUACCAAACACACCAAUAGUGUAAAAAAGUCUUGUGUAGACAUAUUUUGACAUGUGAUUUUGAUGAUGUAACACUUUUGACCAUUUUACCUUGUGGCCUAUGAUCAAUAUCAAUUUUUCAUGAAUCCAUUUGUUAAUUUUUCCUUUUCAACAUGGUAGACAAAGUACUGUGCUUUACAUUGUCAGUGGCUCCUUAUCUUUAUUUGAGACCAGUAUAUGUCCAUUACUAUAUUACACGAUUUUAAAGGUUAAGGAAACAAAAGAAUUUAUCUCUUAGGUAGGAGAGGAUGAAUUCGGGCAUAUGCUAGCUGACAUAUUAAAAGAAAGCAAAGUUAAUAUCUCUGGUGUGCGGUAUGAUCCCGAUGCAAGGACUGCACUGGCAUUUGUUACUCUCAGAGCCGAUGGUGAGCGUGAAUUCAUGUUUUUCCGUAAUCCU